rnacentral:rRNA from 1 species
AUUGAACGCUGGCGGCAUGCCUUACACAUGCAAGUCGAACGGCAGCACGGGAGCAAUCCUGGUGGCGAGUGGCGAACGGGUGAGUAAUAUAUCGGAACGUGCCCAGUCGUGGGGGAUAACGCAGCGAAAGCUGUGCUAAUACCGCAUACGAUCUACGGAUGAAAGCGGGGGAUCGCAAGACCUCGCGCGAUUGGAGCGGCCGAUAUCAGAUUAGCUAGUUGGUGGGGUAAAGGCCCACCAAGGCGACGAUCUGUAGCUGGUCUGAGAGGACGACCAGCCACACUGGAACUGAGACACGGUCCAGACUCCUACGGGAGGCAGCAGUGGGGAAUUUUGGACAAUGGGCGCAAGCCUGAUCCAGCAAUGCCGCGUGCAGGAUGAAGGCCUUCGGGUUGUAAACUGCUUUUGUACGGAACGAAACGGCCCUUUCUAAUACAAGGGGCUAAUGACGGUACCGUAAGAAUAAGCACCGGCUAACUACGUGCCAGCCGCCGCAGUAAUAC